rnacentral:rRNA from 1 species
GGGCCUGCGUUUCAUUAGCUAGUUGGUAGGGUAAUGGCCUACCAAGGCAACGAUGAGUAGCUGGUCUGAGAGGAUGAUCAGCCACACUGGAACUGAAACACGGUCCAGACUCCUACGGGAGGCAGCAGUGGGGAAUAUUGCGCAAUGGGCGAAAGCCUGACGCAGCAACGCCGUGUGAGGGAUGAAGGCUUUCGGGUCGUAAACCUCUGUCGGAAGGGAAGAACGGGCAUUGGUCUAAUAGGCCUUUGUUUUGACGGUACCUUUAGAGGAAGCACCGGCUAACUCCGUGCCAGCAGCCGCGGUAAUACGGAGGGUGCAAGCGUUAUUCGGAAUUACUGGGCGUAAAGCGCACGUAGGCGGCCUUGUAAGUCAGGGGUGAAAUCCCACGGCUCAACCGUGGAACUGCCUUUGAAACUGCAGGGCUUGAAUCCUGGAGAGGGUGGCGGAAUUCCUGGUGUAGGAGUGAAAUCCGUAGAUAUCAGGAGGAACACCGGUGGCGAAGGCGGCCACCUGGACAGGCAUUGACGCUGAGGUGCGAAAGUGUGGGGAGCAAACAGGAUUAGAUACCCUGGUAGUCCACGCUGUAAACGAUGAACGCUAGGUGCCGGG